AUUGAACGCUGGCGGCAUGCCUUACACUUGCAAGUCGAACGGUGACAGGUCUUCGGAUGCUGACGAGUGGCGAACGGGUGAGUAAUACAUCGGAACGUGCCUAGUAGUGGGGGAUAACUACUCGAAAGAGUGGCUAAUACCGCAUGAGAUCUACGGAUGAAAGCAGGGGAUCGCAAGACCUUGUGCUACUAGAGCGGCCGAUGGCAGAUGAGGUAGUUGGUGGGAUAAAAGCUUACCAAGCCGACGAUCUGUAGCUGGUCUGAGAGGACGAUCAGCCACACGGGGACUGAGACACGGCCCAGACUCCUACGGGAGGCAGCAGUGGGGAAUUUUGGACAAUGGGCGAAAGCCUGAUCCAGCAAUGCCGCGUGCAGGAUGAAGGCCUUCGGGUUGUAAACUGCUUUUGUACGGAACGAAAAGCCCCGGGUUAAUACCCUGGGGUCAUGACGGUACCGUAAGAAUAAGCACCGGCUAACUACGUGCCAGCCGCCGCCGUAA
rnacentral:rRNA from 1 species